ACCACGGAACCUACAGUCGCUGGAUCAAGCUCUCCCUGCCCAGUGCUGUGAAUCAUGACUGGAGUGAGGGAAAACUGUAUAAAUGGCUGCAAACCAAGCCCACUGGUUACAGACAGUGUCUGCUAGCUGUAGACCACGCCUGUUGGUUACAAACCAAGUCCGAUGGUUCUGGGGCACAAGACAGUCCCCAUGACUAAGAAUGACCCAACCACAAACGCCGGCAGUGCUGUGGUGAAGGAGCCACGCAGGAGAAUGGAGGUGGUAAAAGCAGGCUCACCGGGGUCAAACUGUCCAGUUUUAAGUUCUGGAUCCAACUUUUACGAAUGCUAUGGACUUGGAAAAUUAUAACCUUUCACCGAGCCUCAGUUUCCCCAUCUGUAAAUAAUGGGAUGAUAACGGCACCUGCCUCCUGAUGCAGAGUUGGCUCGGCGCAGGGCAGCCAGGGCAGCAUCCCCAGCCCUCUGCACCUCCGGACGGUGAGAGCUCCCUGCUUAAUAACGAGCCGGGCCCGGGGACACUUACCCUCUGUCUUGCCUCGCAUAAGUCACUUCAUCCUUGCAAGGAGCAGUCUCUGGGUUCGUGUUAAAAAUCGAAGCUAAAAACCAGUGAUUCUUUUAAGGGUGAUGUUGAGCUUAAACCAUGUUGGGACUUGGAAUAAUAAUACAAAGAAGAACUGACUCCAGGGAGGACUUUCUGGGCUAGCACUGUGCUUUGUGCCUGGCAAGCACCCUCUCGUCUCAUCCUGGGAGUAAGGACAUGUUAACUUAGCAGAGACGAAGAAAUUGAGGCUCAGCGAGCGGGAGGGCCUUGCCGAGGACACAGCUGGCAAAUGGCCGUGUGACCAGAGCCUGCACUUGCAGCGAGACUUCUGUGCUCGCUCUGGUUUCAUCCUUUAAGAGGAACACCCUGCAACGGCCCCGGGGAAGCCCCCCUGCCUUCCUUCACCCCAGGGACCCCAGGAACAUUAGCCAAUAAUGAGAAUUUCUGGUUUCCCUCUCCCAUCUCAUGUCAGCGUUCGGCUAAAAACCUUCCAUCAGCAUCAACCCUAAUGUUUUCAGGCGAGUCUUUAAAUUAAAUUCCGUGGAAAUGGUUUCAUUUCAAUGAAUCAGAUUGGAAUGGCUGGGAGCAAUCCUAGCAGGAGAGCAGAUGCUGCGAGGGAGGCACGGAACCAGGGCCAGCGGGCCUCUUGGCGUCUUCCCGCCCCACCAACUGCCCGUCAGCUCCCAUUUGGUGGAGGCCGUCGCCCAGAGAACCAAUAAGGGUGACAUCUCAAGCAUGUGAGCAGAACCACAGUUGGAAAGAUAAUGUUUGCUCAGCGUCCCGAGGCAGGUGCCCAGCAGAGCUUCCUGGCGGGGCCUCCGGGUGCAGCGCUGAAUUGACUGUCUAGUCCCAUUAGUGUCUGAGGCCAGCCUGGUCCUCGCAGCCACUGUCUGUGCUCACAAAGAACAUGGAUCUCUGGCUCUGACCCGAGGCCUCCAAAGCCUAAAGUGUGGGAGAGGCAGCCAGGUCGUGUCGCACGUUGGGACAUCUCGCUAUGCGACAGUGCCUACUCAUCACUGCUUGAGCAGAACCCACCGUGCUUGCCCGGCCUCCGACCGUCCUGGGCUUGAACCCAGCUCCAUUGCUAGCGGAAGGAGGGCCCGGGAAACUCAUGCUGUGACCUGAUAAAUGGCAUGCAGAGGAGUGUGCGAUUUUCUCAGGCCAGCCGUGGGGAGCUGUCAGAGCCGUCCAAAUUAAAGACAUUAAGAAAGGACCUUUGGAGAUGGCAAACAGGAUGGUGGAAUGGAUUCUUUCUGUCAGAUGAGAACUGGACAACAUGACCUCACAAGAUCCUUCUUUUCCUAAAGACUCUGGGACUCUGUGGAUUCCUGGGAACCUUCCGAAGAGUCAGUAGAAGCGGAGCUCCAUCACCCCCAUAUUCCACAUUCUCAUAACCACCAGCUGGAUUUGCUCUCACAGUGACCUCUUUUCACUCCUUCCUGAGAUGUUUCUUGAGCUGGAGACCUGGCUGAGCACUUGCAUUUGUCUCUGCAACAUCCAUCAAACCAUUUACAUGAGUCUUUGCAUCACCUGGAAAGCAGAGCCUGAAGCAAGGGUUCGAAUGCGGAUCCUGGAUUUGGAAGGUGCAAGCCCAAGGUGGUGAGUGAGGGGUAGAUGGAGGCCAGGCAAGAGAAAGUACAGAGCUGGUGCUGGGGUGCGUGACCUUGCUCUUCCAUCUUCCACAAAGAGCCGCAGAGAAACUAGCAGGCAUGAGAAAGAGCCGCGAAGAAGCCAACAGCCCCUUGUAGACUCCUUACUGGGAAGACCACUAACAGCACCAGGAGGAAAUGCUGCAGCUUGCCUCAAAUCCUGGUCCAGCCGCGUGUCUGCUGGUGACUACAACAACCCUCUUAACGGAUCUGAGCCUUCGUUCCCUCAUCUGUGAGAACCAGGCUUGCAAAGCCUCUGCUACAUACUAAAGCCAGGGAGAGGCCACUGAUGGGCAAAAAGAGGAGGACAGAGACCUGGAAAACACUAACAAGGGCCCAGUAUAUGCAUAGGAAGCAGACGGCUGAUGUUCAGGUGGAGUUCAGGUUCAGUAUGCUCCAGCAGCACCCAUCGGAGAACCCAUUGGUAAGAGGCUUUGGAACAGAUGAUUUUCUAAAGCUAUAACUGUGGGUGGCUUAUAGGGGUAGUGUGGCCACUGUGACACAUAGGUCCCAUGCCAUACAGGACCUUGGAGCCCUGUCCAAAGCAGUGAUGGGAAAUGCACGUGACUGGGGGCUCUCAGUCUAGGGGAACUAGGAGGGCUUCAGAUCCCAGAGCCUGGCUGAAGCCCCAGCAGGACCACAGUGAUGUCUUGUCUUGGGAAAGUGUGUGCCCUGCCCCCAGAGACACCUGGACUUUUCAGCUCAGCGCUGCGGCAAGCACCCUAGCACAUGCCACCCAGGGCUUCCCAGAGGGUGGCCCCGAGUCAGGCAGUACACUAAA
rnacentral:lncRNA from 1 species